UACGUAGGGUGCAAGCAUUAAUCGGAUUUAUUGGGCGUAAAGGGCGCGUAGGCGGGAAUGCCAGUCAGAUGUGAAAUCCCGGGGCUCAACCUCGGAACAGCAUUUGAAACUACAUUUCUAGAGGGUAGACGGAGAAAAUGGAAUUCCACAAGUAGCGGUGAAAUGCGUAGAUAUGUGGAAGAACACCAGUGGCGAAGGCGGUUUUCGUAGUACGGUACUGACGCUGAGACGCGAAAGCGUGGGGAGCGAACAGG
rnacentral:rRNA from 1 species